rnacentral:rRNA from 1 species
UACGGAGGGGGCUAGCGUUGUUCGGAAUUACUGGGCGUAAAGGGCGCGUAGGCGGCCUUCUAAGUCGAACGUGAAAUCCCCGGGCUCAACCCGGGAACUGCGUCCGAUACUGGAAGGCUUGAAUCCGGGAGAGGGAUGUGGAAUUCCAGGUGUAGCGGUGAAAUGCGUAGAUAUCUGGAGGAACACCGGUGGCGAAGGCGACAUCCUGGACCGGUAUUGACGCUGAGGCGCGAAAGCCAGGGGAGCAAACGGG